AUGGGCCCGCCGCCGCGCGACGUGGUGGUGAUCAGCUCCGACGAGGACGAGGGCUCCCGGAGGUCGUCUGUCUCGCCCGGCUCCCUCGGACGGGUCGCGUUGCUCGGGGAAUCGCUGCCGCCGGUGCCAGUGCCGCGGAGGAAGAAGGGCAAGUCCCGCGGCGUUCGCGCCAGAAAGGACAACGACGACGAGGAGGAGGACGACGACUGCGUGAUCCUGGACGGCGACCCUGACGGGCCGGCUGUGGUUGUGGGCGCCAAGGGGAGGGGCGCGGGGGACGGCGCGUCAGACGAGGUGGAGAUCGUCGCGGUCAAAGGCAAGAUAGCGUGCAAGGAUUUCCCUCACCCGCGGCAUUUAUGUUCUGAAUUGCCCUUUAGCACCACUCCUCACCCAAAGCAUUGUAAAAUGUGCUACUGUUAUGUGUGUGAUGCUCCAGCUCCAUGCAAGAGUUGGGGCAAAGGGCUCUUGAAUGGUGAUCAUUGUCAUGCCACCGACAAGGACACAAAGUGGGAAACACUGAGGCAAUCAUUCAAGCGCAACUUUGAGCUGGGCAAGGAGGCCACUGUGUCCGCUGGGAACCUACCCUAUGGCUUUGACACCGAGCGCCUUCGCCAGCUCUUCAGAUCAUUUACGACAAGGGAACAGGCAAGAGUUGUGGACAGGGGAACUGGUUUUGACAUCGAUCGCCUUGGCCAGCUCUUCAGAUCAUUUACGACAAGGGAACAGGCAAGAGUUGUGGACAGGGAAACUGGCUGA
rnacentral:rRNA from 1 species